UGAGGAAUAUUGGUCAAUGGGCGCAAGCCUGAACCAGCCAUCCCGCGUGCAGGAAGACGGCCCUAUGGGUUGUAAACUGCUUUUCCAGGGGGAGAAUUUUUCUGUCGUGACAGGAAUUGACGGUACCCUGGGAAUAAGCAUCGGCUAACUCCGUGCCAGCAGCCGCGGUAAUACGGAGGAUGCGAGCGUUAUCCGGAUUUAUUGGGUUUAAAGGGUGCGUAGGCGGAUUGAUAAGUCAGUGGUGAAAACCUGCAGCUUAACUGUAGACUUGCCGUUGAUACUGUCAGUCUUGAGUAUGAUCAAGGUAGGCGGAAUGUGUAAUGCAGCGGUGAAAUGCUUAGAUAUUACACAGAACACCGAUUGCGAAGGCAGCUUACUGGGCCAUUACUGACGCUGAUGCACGAAAGCGUGGGGAUCGAACAG
rnacentral:rRNA from 1 species